rnacentral:rRNA from 1 species
UACGUAGGGGGCGAGCGUUGUCCGGAUUUAUUGGGCGUAAAGAGCUCGUAGGCGGUUUGGUAAGUCGGAUGUGAAAUCUCCAGGCUCAACUUGGAGGGGUCAUCCGAUACUGCCAUGACUUGAGUUCGGUAGAGGAGUGUGGAAUUCCUGGUGGAGCGGUGAAAUGCGCAGAUAUCAGGAGGAACACCGGUGGCGAAGGCGGGUCUCUGGGCCGAUAUUGACGCUGAGGAGCGAAAGCGUGGGGAGCGAACAGG